AAGCAACAUUUCCUUUGCCUUACCAUCACGCCUCUUCCUGUACCAUCACCGCUGUAUUACAAAUAGCGCCUUAACCAAAACUCCUUCCUUACAUUGUUGCGUUGCGUCAUGCACACAACAUUCAAUUCUCUCCUUUGCUUCCAACACCCAUCUGCAAAUAUACAAGCACUUUCACUGCGUGUCUUUAUGUACCCAAAGGAUAUCAACGAAAACCCCCGUCAAACCAGGUAAUCAUUCUUACUUUUUUAAUUAUCACGUUACGUUCCCCUUAACGUUGCAUAAUAUUUUCAACCCCUAUUGUUUAACUAAACAACUUUAUUGUUCUAAUUGUCUCUAGCCUUUGAUGUUGUAAUAAGCAAAUUCCUUUUCCAUUCUAUUUAUCUCCUGCCAGGGCUGCUUAUAUGGAUGAAAAUGUAGACACUGAUUAUAUGGACACAAAUGAUUUAACACAAGCCCAUGCCCAUGCAGGUUUGCAUUCAUGCAUUUUCCACUUACCUUUACGGAUGGGAUAUCGUUCCUCUGUACAAAUUAUUUGUGAUGCAUAAAAAUUGAGGGCAUGUAGAGAGUGGUUGGCCGGGUUGGUAGUGAUUGUAUUUGGUAACUUAUCUAUGAGUUAGAAUUGUCAAGUUAUGAAUAAAGAGUAGAGCGAGCAAGAUAUGGAGUUAGAGUCAAGGGUAUUAUAUGCUUAAGGUGUAUAGAAAAGAGAAAGGCAAGUGGAUAAAGGUUGAGGAGUGUACUUUCUUAUUGCAUAUUUUGUGCUAGUUUGAUUUAGUUAUAUUAUGUGGUGGGUAUUGGGUUGAUCGAUGAUGCUUGCCAGUACGUGUGAUUUGUACUAAUACUUCUCUUUCUAUGUCUUUUGGCAUAGUCUGAUUGCAAGGUCACUGAUGUUUCAUAGGUGAAGACCAAGACAAUCUCCAACAACUUUUACUCUUCCUUCUUUGUGGUGGAAGCUGUGUCAUUGGUUACUGUAUUUUAUACCUUGUAAUCUUAGAAUCUCUUGUACCUGUUUAGACUAGAUCGCCAGGGGAAUUAUUUAUUUUACAAAUUUAACUUUGGAUUGUUGAAACUCUUUAUAAUAUAAAAAUCUCAUGGAU
rnacentral:lncRNA from 1 species